rnacentral:rRNA from 1 species
AGUGAACGCUGGCGGUAGGCCUAACACAUGCAAGUCGAACGGCAGCACAGUAAGAGCUUGCUCUUACGGGUGGCGAGUGGCGGACGGGUGAGGAAUACAUCGGAAUCUACUUUUUCGUGGGGGAUAACGUAGGGAAACUUACGCUAAUACCGCAUACGACCUACGGGUGAAAUCAGGGGAUCUUCGGACCUUGCGCGAUUGAAUGAGCCGAUGUCGGAUUAGCUAGUUGGCGGGGUAAAGGCCCACCAAGGCGACGAUCCGUAGCUGGUCUGAGAGGAUGAUCAGCCACACUGGAACUGAGACACGGUCCAGACUCCUACGGGAGGCAGCAGUGGGGAAUAUUGGACAAUGGGCGCAAGCCUGAUCCAGCCAUACCGCGUGGGUGAAGAAGGCCUUCGGGUUGUAAAGCCCUUUUGUUGGGAAAGAAAAGCAGCAGGUUAAUACCCCGCUGUUCUGACGGUACCAAAAGAAUAAGCACCGGCUAACUUCGUG